CACGUAGGGGGCGAGCGUUGUCCGGAUUUAUUGGGCGUAAAGAGCUCGUAGGCGGUUCGAUAAGUCGGGUGUGAAAACUCUGGGCUCAACCCAGAGAGGCCACCCGAUACUGCUGUGACUAGAGUGCGGUAGGGGAGCGGGGAAUUCCUGGUGUAGCGGUGAAAUGCGCAGAUAUCAGGAGGAACACCAGCGGCGAAGGCGCCGCUCUGGGCCGUAACUGACGCUGAGGAGCGAAAGCAUGGGUAGCAAACAGG
rnacentral:rRNA from 1 species